rnacentral:rRNA from 1 species
AAGAGCUUGCUCUCGGGUGACGAGCGGCGGACGGGUGAGUAAUGUCUGGGAAACUGCCNGAUGGAGGGGGAUAACUACUGGAAACGGUAGCUAAUACCGCAUAACGUCGCAAGACCAAAGUGGGGGACCUUCGGGCCUCAUGCCAUCAGAUGUGCCCAGAUGGGAUUAGCUAGUAGGUGGGGUAAUGGCUCACCUAGGCGACGAUCCCUAGCUGGUCUGAGAGGAUGACCAGCCACACUGGAACUGAGACACGGUCCAGACUCCUACGGGAGGCAGCAGUGGGGAAUAUUGCACAAUGGGCGCAAGCCUGAUGCAGCCAUGCCGCGUGUAUGAAGAAGGCCUUCGGGUUGUAAAGUACUUUCAGCGAGGAGGAAGGCAUUAAGGUUAAUAACCUUGGUGAUUGACGUUACUCGCAGAAGAAGCACCGGCUAACUCCGUGCCAGCAGCCGCGGUAAUACGGAGGGUGCAAGCGUUAAUCGGAAUUACUGGGCGUAAAGCGCACGCAGGCGGUCUGUCNAGUCGGAUGUGAAAUCCCCGGGCUCAACCUGGGAACUGCAUUCGAAACUGGCAGGCUAGAGUCUUGUAGAGGGGGGUAGAAUUCCAGGUGUAGCGGUGAAAUGCGUANAGAUCUGGAGGAAUACCGGUGGCNAANGCGGCCCCCUGGACAAAGACUGACGCUCAGGUGCGAAAGCGUGGGGAGCAAACANGAUUAGAUACCCUGGUAGUCCACGCCGUAAACGAUGUCNACUUGNANGUUGUGCCCUUGAGGCGUG